ACCCUUUCGUUUCCUCUCCCACCUCACUGUGAAGGCUCUCCUCUUUCCCUCCUUUUGAACAUUCUGAGGGGGGAGAGAGAGAAAGAGAGAGAAGUAGAAGUCCAUACACGGCCAGGAACACGGCGUUGAUGCUGGUGUCUACCUUCGUCUUUCCUUUAUAAUGACCUCCUGAAACGGUCGGGAACGGCAUCAACGGUGUGUUUCUUCCUUCCUUGACAGGUUCUUGCGAUGAAUGAUGGCCUGCUUCACAGAGAAAUGGAUGUCGGUAUGAACGAAAACCUGGACACCAGUUGGCUCUUUGAAAAUCACAAAUGGAUCCCUCCUAUUCUGAAGAGAACUCCAUCAUCACCGAACCUGCUGGACGGACAAGUUGACAUCAGUCAUUCAACAGAGGGUGAGAUGGCCUCCGUUAAGAUGAGGGAAGAUGACUUCGAGAGUAAAUCUGGAAGCGAAAAUCUUGAGGGUGCUUCCGGCGAGGAUAACGAUCAUGAACGGCGGCCUAAGAAGAAGAGAUACCAUCGACACACUCAGCACCAGAUUCAAGAAAUGGAAGCGUUUUUCAAAGAGUGCCCACAUCCAGAUGAUAAACAAAGGAAGGAGUUAAGCCGGGAGUUGGGGCUGGAGCCCCUUCAAGUAAAAUUUUGGUUCCAAAACAAGCGCACUCAAAUGAAGACACAACAUGAGCGCCAUGAGAAUGCACAACUCAGAGCGGAAAAUGAGAAGCUUCAAGCUGAGAACAUGAGGUAUAAGGAGGCCCUGGGAAAUGCUUCCUGCCCGAGCUGUGGUGGUGCUACUGCUUUGGGUGAAAUGUCAUUUGACGAACAGCACUUAAGGAUAGAAAACACUCGUCUCAGAGAGGAGAUCGACAGGAUCUCUGGCAUUGCUGCCAAGUAUGUUGGGAAGCCAAUGGUUUCGUACUCACCAUUGUUGCCGCCUAUCUCACGCUCUUCUAUAGACCUUGGGGUCGGGAACUUUGGGCCAAGCAUGGGAGGGGAGAUGUUUGGAGGUGGGGAGCUGUUGAACAAGCCAGUGGCAGCGCAGUUGGAGAUAGAGAAGCCUAUGGUCAUAGAACUUGCCGUUGCUGCAAUGGAGGAACUCAUCAGAAUGGCACAAUUAGGCCAACCCCUGUGGACUCCAGGCGGCGUCGAUGAUUCUGCUGAAGUACUAUGCGAGGAGGAAUACCUUCGGACGUUUCCACGAGGGAUUGGGCCUAAGCCCUUGGGCAUGAAAUCUGAGGCAUCUCGAGAGACGGCGGUUGUGAUAAUGAAUCCAAGCAACUUGGUGGAGAUCCUUAUGGAUGUGAAUCAAUGGUCAAGUAUGUUUUUCCACAUCAUUUCAAAGGCAUUAACCUUGGAGAUUCUAUCAACUGGAGUAGCAGGAAACUGGAAUGGCGCAUUACAAGUGAUGUCGGCGGAGUUUCAAAUGCCCUCUCCACUAGUACCUACGAGGGAAAGCUACUUUGUUAGAUACUGCAAGCACCAUCCGGAUGGAAGCUGGGCGGUUGUUGACGUCUCCCUUGACAGUAUACGACCAAAUGCACAGCCAGUAUUAAGGUGCAGAAGAAGACCAUCAGGAUGCCUGAUCCAACAAAUGCCUAAUGGUUACUCAAAGGUUAUGUGGGUGGAGCACGUUGAGGUAGACGACCGAGCAGUUCAUAGCAUAUAUAAGUCGCUUGUCAAUUCUGGAAUGGCCUUUGGUGCAAAGCGAUGGGUAUCCACUCUUGAUAGGCAAUGUGAACGGCUAGCGAGCGCCAUGGCUAGUAACAUCCCUCCAAGAGAUGUUGGUGUUAUAACGAGUCCAGAGGGGAGGAGAAGCAUGCUGAAGUUGGCAGAGAGAAUGGUUAUAAGUUUUUGCGCUGGUGUGGGUGCAACUACAACGCAUACAUGGACUACUCUGUCUGGAAACGAAGCAGAGGAUGUGAGGGUGAUGACAAGAAAGAGCAUAGGUGAUCCAGGAAGGCCGCCAGGCAUUGUUCUAAGUGCAGCUACUUCCUUCUGGCUGCCUGUCCCUCCAAAGAGGGUCUUUGAUUUCCUUCGGGAUGAGAAUUCAAGAAAGGAGUGGGACAUUCUCUCCAACGGAGGAGUAGUACAAGAAAUGGCCCAUAUUGCCAACGGCCAUGACCCUGGAAACUGCGUCUCGCUUCUACGAGUAAAUAGCACAAAUUCAAAUCAAAGCAAUAUGUUAAUACUGCAAGAGAGCUGCACGGAUGCAUCAGGGUCGUAUGUGGUGUAUGCACCGGUGGACAUUGUAGCCAUGAAUGCCGUGCUAACAGGUGGGGACCCAGAAUGCGUGGCUCUUCUUCCCUCAGGGUUCGCCAUAUUGCCAGACGGGCCGACCGCCACCACCACCCAGAGCGGAACGGCAGAGGUAGGAGCUACUGGAGGAGGAGGGGGAGGGUCACUUUUAACGGUGGCGUUCCAGAUCUUGGUCGACUCCGCCCCCAACGCCAAGCUCUCACUGGGAUCAGUGGCAACAGUUAACAGCCUCAUCGCUUGCACCGUCGAUAGGAUCAAAGCUGCGGUUACGUGCGACACUGCAUGAUGCCUCGUCCUGCUCUCCCAUUUACUAAUCGCAGCUACCGGCUUUAUCUAUCGGGCCCAUGGAAAAAAGCGGGGAGCGAAGGGUUUCUUAUCCGUUCUAUCCACGGUUCUCUUGUUGAAUGUGUUUCGGAGACCAUACUUUUUAUCGUUUCUGUAACUUUUCGAAGACUGUGCGUAUUAGUGCUUGGGGAAAGGGCUGAUGUACAGGAGUUUCUUCGGGAGGCGAUAGAUGUUUAAGUUGACUAGUGAGGAACGUCAUAUCAUACAUAGCAGCGGCAGCGGCGGAGUAAUUAUUUGUUUACAGGAAGAAAUGAAAUAUUUAUAUGGCUCUGCUGAGUGCCGACUGUGGGGGGGGUGAGGGGCCUCUAGCUGAGCAAGUGUUGAGCUUGCGUUCUCAACUACGCAUGUUCCUGCGCAUGGGGACAAAACCUCUGAUGAUGCAAGCAAGCAAACAGAACGACGAUUUGGGUUGGCGUUGUCCUCAUCAGUAACAAAGGAGGGGUGAAGGGAAAGGCCAGCCUUUUUGGAAGUCAAGAACGCACCUCUGAUGCACCUUGCCACGUGGUGUUGGGGCUUCAGAAGCAACGCACAUGCAAGAGUAUUGGUUCGGGUAUUGACUUCACCACUUAUUAAUUAAACAAAAUAUAUAUAAAUAUAAUACUUAGUCCGUCUUCUUGCCUUUGACCUUGUGAGCCCAAUGGAGAGGUCCUUUCGUUUCCUCUUUUGAAGAAUUAGGGUUUAGGGACAAUGUGUGUCAUUUUGUAACUUACUUCUCUCUUGUUUUGUUUUGUUUUAUUUAUCUAUAGUCGAUCGUCAUGAUAUUUGUUUGAUGUUUGGCACAAGUUGGUGGGACGGAAAUUAACAGCAGAUCGCGUGUUUCAUUGGAAGGAAAUUAAGGGUGGAGUUUGAUUUUCUACUACCAUUUUAAACAAUUUGUUUA